UACAGAGGGUGCAAGCGUUGUUCGGAAUUACUGGGCGUAAAGCGCGUGUAGGCGGUCCGGUAAGUCCGCUGUGAAAGUCGGGGGCUCAACCCUCGGAUGCCGGUGGAUACUGUCGGGCUUGAGUACGGAAGAGGCGAGUGGAAUUCCUGGUGUAGCGGUGAAAUGCGCAGAUAUCAGGAGGAACACCAAUUGCGAAGGCAGCUCGCUGGGACGUUACUGACGCUGAGACGCGAAAGCGUGGGGAGCAAACAGG
rnacentral:rRNA from 1 species